UAAUAAAAAUGCUCUUUUCCCUCGAAUAACCUUCAUCAAGUUACCAGAGCUGAAGUAUGUACAGCUCCCGGUUCAUAACGCAGAAGCAUCCCGAGUAAGGUAGUCGAUACCUGCUACCGGUCCCUGAGGAUGCUGAAGGAUUGGUAGGCUGACUUAAUGUUGCUGCGCCUUCCCACUUAUCAUGGAUGAGUCCUGCACAUGCUAGAACUGAUUACUGCUUGACGGGCAUGCAAUAUAGGAUUUUGGCCUUUAACGCUGAGUAAUGUUACUCUGUCCUCAACAGUUGCACAUCAUAUGAAGUGCCUACUGGUGGACUAAGGGUACAAAAUCAGAAGAAAACAGGUUGCGGCCCAAAUAUUUAAUGAGUGCAGCAUAGCAUAUCGAAAACAUUGUCCAAUACAACCUCUAAUUUCUGACUGUACCACCUGGAUACAAAUUUGUGCCAUAUAGUAUCACUGGAUGUAUGUGGAAAUCUAGUCUCAGACAGUGAUAUGGAGGAAUUAACUGCAGAGUCAUAGAGAAUCGGACUCCUAUAUGACAUGUACUAUGUCUUGUGCAGAAUGGAUUUAUGUUCGACUGCAUUUGAGCAUUUGUCAGUAUAGAUUUGAAGUUCUGUUUAUUAUUUAAAUUAUGGACAGUCAUCUUAGCAGUACAGUGGGUUAUGCGGUGUUCUAAAAAAUCUCGAUAAAAAUAUAUAUUAGUGCUUUAUUGACUA